rnacentral:rRNA from 1 species
AGAGUUUGAUCCUGGCUCAGGAUGAACGCUGGCGGCGUGCCUAAUACAUGCAAGUCGAGCGAACGGACGAGAAGCUUGCUUCUCUGAUGUUAGCGGCGGACGGGUGAGUAACACGUGGAUAACCUACCUAUAAGACUGGGAUAACUUCGGGAAACCGGAGCUAAUACCGGAUAAUAUUUUGAACCGCAUGGUUCAAAAGUGAAAGACGGUCUUGCUGUCACUUAUAGAUGGAUCCGCGCUGCAUUAGCUAGUUGGUAAGGUAACGGCUUACCAAGGCAACGAUGCAUAGCCGACCUGAGAGGGUGAUCGGCCACACUGGAACUGAGACACGGUCCAGACUCCUACGGGAGGCAGCAGUAGGGAAUCUUCCGCAAUGGGCGAAAGCCUGACGGAGCAACGCCGCGUGAGUGAUGAAGGUCUUCGGAUCGUAAAACUCUGUUAUUAGGGAAGAACAUAUGUGUAAGUAACUGUGCACAUCUUGACGGUACCUAAUCAGAAAGCCACGGCUAACUACGUGCCAGCAGCCGCGGUAAUACGUAGGUGGCAAGCGUUAUCCGGAAUUAUUGGGCGUAAAGCGCGCGUAGGCGGUUUUUUAAGUCUGAUGUGAAAGCCCACGGCUCAACCGUGGAGGGUCAUUGGAAACUGGAAAACUUGAGUGCAGAAGAGGAAAGUGGAAUUCCAUGUGUAGCGGUGAAAUGCGCAGAGAUAUGGAGGAACACCAGUGGCGAAGGCGACUUUCUGGUCUGUAACUGACGCUGAUGUGCGAAAGCGUGGGGAUCAAACAGGAUUAGAUACCCUGGUAGUCCACGCCGUAAACGAUGAGUGCUAAGUGUUAGGGGGUUUCCGCCCCUUAGUGCUGCAGCUAACGCAUUAAGCACUCCGCCUGGGGAGUACGACCGCAAGGUUGAAACUCAAAGGAAUUGACGGGGACCCGCACAAGCGGUGGAGCAUGUGGUUUAAUUCGAAGCAACGCGAAGAACCUUACCAAAUCUUGACAUCCUUUGACAACUCUAGAGAUAGAGCCUUCCCCUUCGGGGGACAAAGUGACAGGUGGUGCAUGGUUGUCGUCAGCUCGUGUCGUGAGAUGUUGGGUUAAGUCCCGCAACGAGCGCAACCCUUAAGCUUAGUUGC